AAUAGCUCUCAUCGUUCCCAAAUCCUUCCAUUAAGGAUUAUUGUAAUGGAAGGAUUUGGGAACGAUGAGAACUAU
rnacentral:pre_miRNA from 1 species